AACGAACGCUGGCGGCAUGCCUAACACAUGCAAGUCGAACGAGACCUUCGGGUCUAGUGGCGCACGGGUGCGUAACGCGUGGGAACCUGCCCUUAGGUUCGGAAUAACUCCCCGACAGGGGUGCUAAUACCGGAUAAUGUCUUCGGACCAAAGAUUUAUCGACUUUGUAUGGGCCCGCGUUGGAUUAGCUAGUUGGUAGGGUAAAAGCCUAUCAAGGCGACGAUCCAUAGCUGGGCUGAGAGGAUGAUCAGCCACACUGGGACUGAGACACGGUCCAGACUCCUACGGGAGGCAGCAGUGGGGAAUAUUGGACAAUGGGCGAAAUCCUGAUCCAGCAAUGCCGCGCGAGUGAUGAAGGCCUUAGAGUUGUAAAGCUCUUUUACCCGGGAUGAUAAUGACAGUACCGGGAGAAUAAGCACCGGCUAACUCCGUG
rnacentral:rRNA from 1 species